rnacentral:rRNA from 1 species
ACUCCUACGGGAGGCAGCAGUCGAGAAUAUUCGACAAUGGGCGCAAGCCUGAUCGAGCGACGUCGCGUGUGGGAUUAAGAUCUUCGGAUUGUAAACCACUUUUCUGGGGGAAGAAUUUUGACGGUACCUCAGGAAUAAGGGGUGACUAAACUCGUGCCAGCAGUAGCGGUAAUACGAGUGCCCCAAGCGUUAUCCGGAUUUAUUGGGCGUAAAGGGUCUGUAGGUGGUUUUUUAUGUUCCUCGUUAAAGUUCCAGGGCUCAACCUUGGAGAAGCGGGGAAAACUGCAAAACUAGAGGACGUUAGGGGCUGAUGGAACACUUGGUGGAGGGGUGAAAUCCGUUGAUAUCAAGUGGAACACCAAAAGCGAAGGCAAUCAGCUAGGACGGUCCUGACACUGAAAGACGAAAGCGUGGGGAUAGAAAAGGAUUAGAUACCCUUGUAUUCCACGCCCUAAACGAUGAAUACUAGCUAUUGCAAGUGUCGACCCUUGCAGUGGCGAAGCUAACGCGUUAAGUAUUCCGCCUGGGAAGUACGGCCGCAAGGCUAAAACUCAAAGGAAAUUGACGGGG